rnacentral:lncRNA from 1 species
GUAUUAUUUUUCUUAAAUAGCCAGUCAUAAGGAAAUGCAAAUCAUUUUGUUUAUUAAAUAUAAAAUUGAGCCAACUUAGUUGGUGUUUAAAAACUUAAAAAUAGGUGAAAUUUAUGUAGAUUCAAGCAACCAUGAUAAGCAAAUUACAGUAUCCAGCUCUACUGUUCAUGAUAUGAAAAAUUACUUGGAAAAGCUUUCUUUAGCUUGCCCAUGGUGAUGUGAAGAUGAGAAGAAAUAGCAAGGCCCAACCAGUUCUUCAUCUGGAGACAGUUCAACGUUCUGCAAACCAGAUCUUCAGGAAUUUUACUGGGAUAAUUAUCCAAAUAAAUUGCAAGCAUUCUAUCCAAAUGGAGCUCUUUCUGAGAUGAAGAGAAUUCUCAAUGUCAAGAUUUGAACAAGAAGAGAAUGGAAUACACAAUAUGGACAUCCAUAAAAAUUCAUCAGAGAGCAUUUUACUACUGAGCUGCAAAGGUAGGAAAAAUAAAUUUUUUUUGGUUAGAAAAUAUACUUCUUUCAUCUGCGUUUCAAUAAUUUAUUCCCCUUGUUAGAUAUACAUGGAAUUGAUAUUGCUUAUUCUGACUAAGUGAAAAGUGUUAUUUCUACUUACUGCUCAAUUAGAAACAUGUAGUGUUUAAUUGUCAGUUUGAAUUUUUCUUUCAUACUAUUACAGUUUAUAUUUUACUAUAGGCAGAAUUUCCUCUUUAUCCUAAAUUUUGAUAUUCUCCAUAAUUUCAUCGUGCCUUGACAUUGCUGUAUAUAAUUUCUAUACAUCAGGAAGGCAAUUCUGUGUGCAUGUGUGUGUGUAUAUAUAUAGUUAGAAGUUAGAAACUGAAACUCUUUUUUGUCUACCAUCAUUUCAUAUUUUUCUUGCUAUUUCAAACCUAUAAUUUUUAAAGAAACGACUAACGUAAUCAUUCAUAGAAUAUGCUGUCAGUAACUUAACAAUAUAAAUGUUAACAUGGAGGCAUUUAGUUCAGCAUUUGCUUUACUUAAUAGAGUGCAGAAAAUGUGGCCCUUUUCUCAGUUAGGGUGUAUGUGAAGAUAAAUUUAGAAUUUCUAGACUAGUAAAUACUUCUCUGAUAAUAACUUAAUUAUAGCUAUUUCAAACCAAAUUGUUUAAUUGUGGUGAAUCAUAUGUAAAUUGUUCAGAUGUAGGUCAACACCCACGCCCACAUUCUAGCACCUCUUUCCUAAUUCAAGACAACUUUGCAGUGCCUAAAAGAGCUGAACAGUGCAGAUUAGAGACAUAA